CUCCUUGAUUAACAUUACAACACCACAUCCUCUUACUGACAGUGCCUGGUAACAUUUCAGAAGUUCAGAUGGAUGAAAGAAGCAUAGAGGUCUAUGCUCCAGGUUCAGGUAGAUGGACUCAGCAGAAAAUCAGGUAACUUCCUGGGAUCGGGGAUAACUUGCAUCAACUGCUGAGAUGGCCAAUGAGAAAAAUCUGGGAUCCAGAGACUGCCACUGAUGGGAAAAGGUGAAUUAUGAGGUCCUGCAGAUGUGGAUGACUGGGAUGUGAUUUGAGACAAUGCUGCCGGUGCUUUGAAAAACCCAAAUCAUUGGUAUAUGCACUUGAAAUUUUGUCAUAGAGCAUAUCUAACACCGAGAAUUAGACAUCAAAUGGGACUAGUUCCUGACUUAUAUUGCUCAUUUUGCCCCCAUGGAACUGUUGGCUCCUUUAUACACGUUGUAUAGGAAUGUCCAGGGAUUUUUGGUUUGUGGGGGAAGGUCAUCAGUACUCUUACAGAACUAAUGGGGGUACAAUUACCAAUGGAUCCUGCUGUACAUCUUCUAAAUGAUGACUUCCACCUUUCACUUAUGGAAAAAACACGCAAAAUCAAGCUGGCAGGUCUGACUGCAGCUAAGAAGAUUGUAGUCCAGCAUCGGAAACGUCCCCAUGGUAUUUCAAGUACUGAGCUUCGGAGCUUUUUGGACAUUUCUUACCUGGAAUUAUCAUCAGCAAGAGUAAAUGAUGCACGACCAAACACAAUC